rnacentral:rRNA from 1 species
UACGGAGGGGGCUAGCGUUGUUCGGAAUUACUGGGCGUAAAGCGCACGUAGGCGGCUUUGUAAGUUAGAGGUGAAAGCCCGGGGCUCAACCCCGGAAUUGCCUUUAAGACUGCAUCGCUAGAAUUGUGGAGAGGUAAGUGGAAUUCCGAGUGUAGAGGUGAAAUUCGUAGACAUUCGGAAGAACACCAGUGGCGAAGGCGACUUACUGGACACAUAUUGACGCUGAGGUGCGAAAGCGUGGGGAGCAAACAGG